rnacentral:rRNA from 1 species
UAACGCGUGGAUAACCUGCCUCACACAGGGGAGUAACAGUUAGAAAUGACUGCUAAUACCGCAUAAGCGCACAGUCUCGCAUGGGACAGUGUGAAAAACUGAGGUGGUGUGAGAUGGAUCCGCGUCUGAUUAGGCAGUUGGCGGGGUAACGGCCUACCAAAGCGACGAUCAGUAGCCGGCCUGAGAGGGUGAACGGCCACAUUGGGACUGAGACACGGCCCAAACUCCUACGGGAGGCAGCAG